CAAAUGAUUAUUUACCAUGUGGAGACCAGUGGGAGAGGAAACUUCUUUACUUCUGUCUGGUGACACGGUUUACACCGUCCACACACUAAGUAGAUGAUAUGGCGACAAAUUUCAGGAAGUAGACAGUGAGGCCAACUUUCUUUGUUGCCAAAACAAUGAGGUCCUGAGGAAGUGGUUAGAUGUGAAACAUGUCAACCUCCUGGAACAUUUAACAAAGACUAAUUUCUGUGUUCUAUUAUAUGGCUAAUG